rnacentral:rRNA from 1 species
UACGUAGGGGGCGAGCGUUGUCCGGAUUCAUUGGGCGUAAAGAGCUCGUAGGCGGCUUGGCAAGUCGGGUGUGAAACCUCCAGGCUCAACCUGGAGACGCCACUCGAUACUGCCAUGGCUUGAGUCUGGUAGGGGAUCACGGAAUUCCUGGUGUAGCGGUGAAAUGCGCAGAUAUCAGGAAGAACACCCGUGGCUAAGGCGGUUCUCUAGUACGGUACUGACGCUGAGACGCGAAAGCGUGGGGAGCGAACAGG